rnacentral:rRNA from 1 species
UACGUAGGGGGCAAGCGUUGUCCGGAAUCAUUGGGCGUAAAGAGCGUGUAGGUUGUUCGAUAAGUCUGCUGUGAAAGUCCAAGGCUCAACCUUGGGAUGCCGGUGGAUACUGUCUGGCUAGAGUACGGAAGAGGCGAGUGGAAUUCCCGGUGUAGCGGUGAAAUGCGCAGAUAUCGGGAGGAACACCAAUUGCGAAGGCAGCUCGCUGGGACGUUACUGACACUGAGACGCGAAAGCGUGGGGAGCAAACAGG